rnacentral:rRNA from 1 species
GUCGAGAAUCUUUCACAAUGGGGGCAACCCUGAUGGAGCGACGCCGCGUGGAGGAUAAGGUCUUCGGAUUGUAAACUCCUGUCAUGCGUGAACAAGGUUGCUUGGUUAAUACCUGGGCAAAUUGAUGGUAACGCAAGAGGAAGAGACGGCUAACUCUGUGCCAGCAGCCGCGGUAAUACAGAGGUCUCAAGGGUUGUUCGGAAUCACUGGGCGUAAAGGGUGCGUAGGUGGCGUGGUAAGUCAGAUGUGAAAGCCCGGGGAUCAACCUCGGAACUGCAUCCGAUACUGCCAUGCUGGAGUACUGGAGAGGUGACUAGAAUUCUCGGUGUAGCAGUGAAAUGCGUAGAUAUCGAGAGGAAUACCAAAGGCGUAGGCAGGUCACUGGACAGUUACUGACACUGAGGCACGAAGGCCAGGGGAGCGAACGGGAUUAGAUACCCCUGUAGUCC